UAAUACGGAGGGAGCAAGCGUUACUCGGAAUUAUUGGGCGUAAAGGGCGCGUAGGCGGCUACUUAAGUUUUGUGUGAAAUCCCAUGGCUUAACCAUGGAAUUGCACGAAAUACUGAGUGGAUUGAGUGUAGGAGAGGAAGGCAGAAUUCCCGGUGUAGCGGUGAAAUGCGUAGAUAUCGGGAGGAAUACCAGUGGCGAAGGCGGCCUUCUGGACUAUAACUGACGCUGAGGCGCGAAAGCUAGGGGAGCAAACGGGAUUAGAUACCCCGGUAGUCCUAGCCGUAAACGAUGUACACUUGGUGUGAGCCUGUUUAGGGUUCGUGCCGAAGUUAACGCGAUAAGUGUACCGCCUGGGGAGUACGGUCGCAAGGCUG
rnacentral:rRNA from 1 species